GUGCAUUGAUUGUUAAUAAAUCAAAGAGAGCAGCCUAAUGAAUUUGAAUCACUUUUGAAAACUUGGUAGCCAAGGAGAAAUAGCUUGAAGGAGUAAAACAACAUGAACCUUUGUUUGCCAUGGUAAAACGGAAUUUUGAUAAUUGUGACUGAACAUUUUAACAAUACCACUAGAAUUUUACAUUUACAUAUGAACAUUUCAGACACAUCAACGAUGUUAGAACUAUCAAGCUUCAUCUCUCGAAAUCGAAAAAGAUCAGCAGAUAGCAUCGUUUUACAGAUAGGAUGUGUUUUACAGGCAGCAUGCGUUUUACAGAUAUGCAUCAUGUCUGUAAAACGCAUGCAUUAUGCGUUUAGAGACAUGGUGCGUUUUACAGACAGCAUGCGCUUUCCAGACAUGAUGUGUUUUACAGACAGAAUGUGUUUACAUAUCCUAUAUCAAAUGACAACUUUGAUACCAUUCUUGAUAAGAUAAUGAACAAUCACAAGAAAAAGGAAGAUUUUAGCUUGCAUUCGUUUUGUGAAAUUAACAUUUUCUUUCUGUGGGGAAAACCAAUCGAUAUCAGAAGAACAAGAGAGACUCGUCGACGGGAUCGUAUAAAGUGAAAUCAGAAAGUCCAACAUUGUAAAAGUCCAUUGAUACCAAACAUGCAGCUAAAGUAACUGUGUCUUUUCUAUGUACCAUCCGAGCUGUCGAUGUUGACAUUCAGGAGAAUCUAACGUGGGAUGAGAGUGUAAGCGUUCUUAUGAUGGAUGCUUGGAAUGAAAAUGUUCUGAUUUUAAGGAGUAGAUAAAAUAAUUAAACAAAUCUUGUGUUUUAUUUUCAGAUUCUUGUUAAUAAAUAUAAACAGCU